AUCCAUCUGACGAGUCCCAAAUAGGACGAAACGUGCAU
rnacentral:hammerhead_ribozyme from 1 species